UUUAAGGAUAACUGUGGCAAUUCUAGAGCUAAUACAUGCAACCGAGUCCCGACCAGCGAUGGAAAGGACGCUUUUAUUAGAUCAAAACCAAUCGGGGUUCGCGCCCCGUUGAACUUGAUGACUCUGAAUAACACACCGGAUCGCACGGUCUCAGUGCCGGCGACCCAUCUUUCAAAUGCCUGACUUAUCAACUGUCGAUGGUAGAUUCUACGUCUACCAUGGUUGUAACGGGUGACGGGGAAUCAGGGUUCGAUUCCGGAGAGGGAGCCUGAGAAACGGCUACCACAUCCAAGGAAGGCAGCAGGCACGCAAAUUACCCACUCCCGGCACGGGGAGGUAGUGACAAAAAAUAACGAUACGGGACUCAUCCGAGGCCCCGUAAUCGGAAUGAGAACACUCUAAAUCAUUUAACAAGGACCUAUUGGAGGGCAAGUCUGGUGCCAGCAGCCGCGGUAAUUCCAGCUCCAAUAGCGUAUAUUAAAGUUGUUGCGGUUAAAAAGCUCGUAGUUGGUUCUGCGUCCCACGCUGUCGGUUCACCGCCUGUCGGUGCAACUGGCACGCCGUGGGAUGUCCUGUCGGUGGCGGCCGCGGCCCGGCGUGUCGAGCCGAGGCCCCUAGCGGGGCCGAAGCCCUCACCCGGGUACCGGUCGCCGAACUAAUCCUGCCGCGGUGCUCUUAACUGAGUGUCGAGGUAGGCCGACACGUUUACUUUGAACAAAUUAGAGUGCUCAAAGCAGGCUGAAUCCCGCCUGAAUAGUGGUGCAUGGAAUAAUUGAAUAGGACCUCGGUUCUAUUUUGUUGGUUUUCGGAAUCCGAGGUAAUGAUCAAUAUGGACAGGCGGGGG
rnacentral:rRNA from 1 species